UACUGUAGCUCUUAGUUUAUUCACAAUUAUUAAAACUACCUGUAGCCAAAUUUACUUUUUGUUUUUGUUCUCUAUUCAUUACCUUUUACCAAUCUCAUUAGUAAUUCGGUCUACUUGACCACUACUAAAAUAAUAAUGAUAAUAAUGAAGGUGGUGAUAAUAUUGAUAAUGAUAAUAAUGGAGGUGGCGAUGAUAUUGAUAAUAAUGAUCAUGAUAACAAUGAUAAUUUAAAUAAAAUAAUUUUGUCACUGGUGGUUCGUCUUAUAUAAAACUACCUACGUAUAUUGAAAAGAAACGAGCCACAAUUAACCCUCAAAAUAACGACCAGAAGUGUUUAUAUGGUCCAUUUUAGCAAAACAUGUAACGGGUUCCAAUAAACAUCGUGUCGGAAAUAAUUAUUAUCGUCAUGAAAAUAAAUAUAAUUUUGAAGGAUUGUCAUAUCCAACUCCAUUGGACGUGAUCAAGGUUUUUGAAAAAAAAUAAUAAUAAUGUGUCUAUAAAUCUUUAUGGUAUUAAAAAAAAUAGAUCAAUCUUCGUUAAAAUGUAAAAAUUACCACAUUUUCCCAUUAAGAGUUGUAGAAGAUGAGAAAACUGAUCACUUUGACAUAAUUUUAUUUAAUGGCGGGGAAAAGAGCCACUAUGUAUACAUAUCAAAUUUUUCUCGCUUAAUAAGGUCACAAUCAACAUUGCAUGGUCAUGCGGUUUAUUUCUGCAAACGAUGCUUUACUUCUUUUGAUCAACAAAAUUUAAAAUACAAACUAAAUGGCCAGUUAGCACUCGAACAACAUCGAUUGAUAUGUGGAUUGCACAAGCCGAUACUUCCCAAAAUGCCUGAUGUCGGCACAACACUUCAAUUUAAAUCAUGGGGAAAUGCGAAUCGUCAUCCAUUCACGAUCUAUGCGGACUUCGAGGCGUUGCUUUUCAAAACCGACGAAAUUAAAGGUACAAAUUCUAAAAUAAUACAGACUCAUAACCUAUGAGCUAUGGGUUUGUUGUUAAGGUAUCAGAUGAUGUACCGCUAGAUUUAGUUAAUGCAUUUAAUAUCCCUACCUCACCGGUCAUCCAUCGUGGCAACAUUGGCGAACAGUAUGUCGCAAAACAUUUUGUUGAAAGUAUUGUUGAAGUGUCUCGAAAAAUUGAACAACUACUAAAAACAAAUGUACCAAUCACUAUGAGUGACGAUGAUACGCGUAGACAUAAUGCUAACACACACUGUAAUUUCUGUAAACAGAGUUUCAAUUCAAUAGAGAAAGUCCGCGAUCAUUGUCACCUUAGUGGAAAGUUUCGCUAAUCGUUAUGCUAUAAAUGCAAUAUAACCUUACAGCAACCCAAAUUUGUGCCUUGUCUUUUUCAUAAUCUGUCAAGUUACGAUGCGCAUUUCAUCGUAACGGAACUCGGAUAUGACACAAAAACAAUUGAUGUAAUCCCAAAUACCGAAAAAAAAUAUAUUUCAUUUUCUAAAUAUAUAAGCAAUACGUUCACAAUAAGAUUCGUUGAUACAAUCAAGCUUAUCAUCACUCGCAAAUAAUCUGAUGACAACAGAAUACGAUAAGUUUAGAGAGACAGCUAAACAUUUUUCCACCGUCGAUAAGUCACUCGUAACACGUAAAGGUGUUUAUCCAUACGAGUACACAGACGGAUGGGAAAAAUUAGAUGUCAAUAAUUUACCUGAAAAAGAAGAUUUUUACAGUACUCUUACAGAGUCUGAAGUUAACGAUGAAGAAUAUGAACACGCAAAAAACGUAUGGAACCACUUUUGUUGCCAAAUGCUUGGCGAGUAUUCAGACUUAUAUUUAAAAAUCGAUAUCCUCUUGUUGUCAGAUGUAUUUGAAAGUUUUCGUGAUCUGUGUUUAAAAACAUAUAAUCUGGAUCCAGUAUUUUAUUAUACGGCACCUGGAUUCAGUUUUGAGAGCAUGCUUAAACACACAUCAAUAAAAUUGGAGCUAUCGAGUAACUACGAUAUACUAUUGAUGAUAGAAAAUGGUAAGUUUUUUUUUUUUUUUUUUUUUAUUAAAUAUUUAGAAUUUAACUUUUCCUAUAGGUAUACGAGGGGGAUUAGUUCAAGCGAGCAAACGGUACGCUAAAGCGAAUAAUGAAGAAACUUUAAAUUACGACGCAGCGGCAGAGAAAUCAUGGAUUGUAUAUCAAAAUUGUAAUAAUUUUUAUGGUUGGGCAAUGUCUAAAUGCAUUCCUCGCGGAGGAUUUAAAUUAUUUCAACAUCCUACAUAUUUACGGUUGCUCAUACAUGUCACGCUACACUUAUAACAACACCACCACCUCCGGUAACAAUCAGUGCACUUGGUCGCAUCAUCCAUAACGUCAUCCCCGUGUAUAAUAUAUAAAUUCUGCAUUCACCUCAUUCGUCAGUUGUCAUCAUCAACAUCAACAUCAUAUCACUCCGCAUCAACGUUUUUUGGUUCGAACACUCUCAUAGAUAAAUUUAUAACGGCGUUCUUAGCUUUAUUAAAGAUGCAAAGUAAUAUUACAAAUGGUUCCAUUGCGGACUUAAGAACCAACAUGGCAUACCUAUUACCCGGUGAUUAGCAUGAAGGAGGUCGAUACAAAAUACGGAACAUCGAUUACCUACACGCUGAGAGACACCGAAAUGAGAGGGAUAAUUAACGUUUUCCUCCCAAAAUCUAUUAGACUCAGCAAAGAAGACGUAAUUAGUUAUUAUUUGGGAGAAGUUCCACCGGGUUCAAUGAUAAAUAUUCACAUAAACCUAUUCUCCCCAUUAUGCCCGAAGUUGACACAAUGCUUGAAUUUAAAGCGUGGGGAAUUGCACAACGUCACCUUUUGCAAUUUGUGUAGAUUUUGAGGCAUUACUAAUUAAGACCGAUGUGCGCAGGGGCGUUAAUACGACUAUAAUACAUAAGUAUUAACCUAUGAGUUAUGAUUUGUAGUCAAGGUAUUCGAUGGCGUAUUGGCGUACCGUUGGAACUUAUUGAAAAAUUCAAUAUACUGACUUCUCCGGUUAUUUAUCAUGGUUGUGGUAGUCGAUAGAAGGUUGCAAGAAGUUUUGUAAAUAAUAUUGUGAAAGUAGGUUUGAAAAUUGAAGAGUUAUUAAAGACUAAUUUUCCUAUAUGUAUGAGCGACAAAGAUACACGUAGGUAUAAUAUA